rnacentral:rRNA from 1 species
GACGAACGCUGGCGGCGUGCUUAACACAUGCAAGUCGAACGGAAAGGCCCCUUUGGGGGUACUCGAGUGGCGAACGGGUGAGUAACACGUGAGUAACCUGCCCUUGACUUCGGGAUAACUUCAGGAAACUGGGGCUAUACCGGAUAGGAAUCCUUGCUGCAUGGUGGGGGUUGGAAAGCUUCGGCGGUUUUGGAUGGACUCGCGGCUUAUCAGCUUGUUGGUGGGGUAGUGGCUUACCAAGGCUUUGACGGGUAGCCGGCCUGAGAGGGCGACCGGCCACAUUGGGACUGAGAUACGGCCCAGACUCCUACGGGAGGCAGCAGUGGGGAAUAUUGCACAAUGGGCGGAAGCCUGAUGCAGCAACGCCGCGUGCGGGAUGACGGCCUUCGGGUUGUAAACCGCUUUCAGCAGGGGCGAAGCUUGUGGUGACGGUACCUGCAGAAGAAGCACCGGCUAACUACGUG